AUUGAACGCUGGCGGCAUGCCUUACACAUGCAAGUCGAACGGCAGCACGGGAGCAAUCCUGGUGGCGAGUGGCGAACGGGUGAGUAAAGUAUCGGAACGUGCCCAGUCGUGGGGGAUAACGUAGCGAAAGUUACGCUAAUACCGCAUACGAUCUAUGGAUGAAAGCGGGGGAUCGCAAGACCUCGCGCGAUUGGAGCGGCCGAUAUCAGAUUAGGUAGUUGGUGGGGUAAAGGCUCACCAAGCCGACGAUCUGUAGCUGGUCUGAGACGACGACCAGCCACACUGGGACUGAGACACGGACCAGACUCCUACGGGAGGCGGCGGUGGGGAAUUUUGGACAAUGGGCGAAAGCCUGAUCCAGCCAUGCCGCGUGCAGGAUGAAGGCCUUCGGGUUGUAAACUGCUUUUGUACGGAACGAAAAGGUUUGGCCUAAUAAGCUGAGCUCAUGACGGUACCGUAAGAAUAAGCACCGGCUAACUACGUGCCAGCCGCCGCAGUAA
rnacentral:rRNA from 1 species